rnacentral:rRNA from 1 species
CCCCAGUAACGGCGAGUGAAGCGGGAGAAGCCCAUGCUGCCAACCGCUCCGGCGGGUUGUGCCAGGCGUGCCUGGUGAGGUCCCGGGGAGAAGUCCUUUGGAACAAGGUAUCAGAGAGGGUGACAAUCCCGUCUGUGCCUCGGGGUCCUCGCGUGAAGGCCGUGCUAAUGGAGUCGAGUUGCUUGGGAUUGCAGCUCAAAGUCGGUGGUAAAUUCCAUCGAAGGCUAAAUACGGGUGGGAGACCGAUAGCGAACAAGUACUGUGAAGGAAAGAUGAAAAGAACUUUGAAAAGAGAGUUAAAGAGUGCCUGAAAUUGCUGAGAGGGAACCGAAGGUGAUCAGUGGGGGCCGCUGCCAUUUUUCGUGUUCCGACCUCGGAGCACGCCCUGUGGCAGGGGCCCGCUCCGCGCCGUCGCGUCCGGCCGUAAGCUUGGGGCCGGGGGUGGUGGGGCGGAGGAAAUGGUCCUCUUUACCCCGUCUUGA